GACAGAGGGUGCUAGCGUUGUUCGGAAUUACUGGGCGUAAAGGGCGCGUAGGCGGCUUGUUUAGUCGGGUGUGAAAUCCCGGGGCUCAACCCCGGAACUGCAUUCGAUACUGGCAGGCUAGAGACCGGAAGAGGUGGGUGGAAUACCCAGUGUAGAGGUGAAAUUCGUAGAUAUCGGGAGGAACACCAGCGGCGAAGGCGGCGAUCUGGGGCGAUACUGACGCUGAGGUGCGAAAGCGUGGGGAGCAAACAGG
rnacentral:rRNA from 1 species